GAUGAACGCUAGCUACAGGCUUAACACAUGCAAGUCGAGGGGCAGCAUUUCAGUUUGCUUGCAAACUGGAGAUGGCGACCGGCGCACGGGUGAGUAACACGUAUCCAACCUGCCGAUAACUCGGGGAUAGCCUUUCGAAAGAAAGAUUAAUACCCGAUGGUAUAAUCAGACCGCAUGGUCUUGUUAUUAAAGAAUUUCGGUUAUCGAUGGGGAUGCGUUCCAUUAGGCAGUUGGUGAGGUAACGGCUCACCAAACCUUCGAUGGAUAGGGGUUCUGAGAGGAAGGUCCCCCACAUUGGAACUGAGACACGGUCCAAACUCCUACGGGAGGCAGCAGUGAGGAAUAUUGGUCAAUGGGCGCAGGCCUGAACCAGCCAAGUAGCGUGAAGGAUGACUGCCCUAUGGGUUGUAAACUUCUUUUAUAUGGGAAUAAAGUUUUCCACGUGUGGAAUUUUGUAUGUACCAUAUGAAUAAGGAUCGGCUAACUCCGUGCCAGCAGCCGCGGUAAUACGGAGGAUCCGAGCGUUAUCCGGAUUUAUUGGGUUUAAAGGGAGCGUAGGUGGACAGUUAAGUCAGUUGUGAAAGUUUGCGGCUCAACCGUAAAAUUGCAGUUGAUACUGGCUGUCUUGAGUACAGUAGAGGUGGGCGGAAUUCGUGGUGUAGCGGUGAAAUGCUUAGAUAUCACGAAGAACUCCGAUUGCGAAGGCAGCUCACUGGACUGCAACUGACACUGAUGCUCGAAAGUGUGGGUAUCAAACAGGAUUAGAUACCCUGGUAGUCCACACAGUAAACGAUGAAUACUCGCUGUUUGCGAUAUACAGUAAGCGGCCAAGCGAAAGCAUUAAGUAUUCCACCUGGGGAGUACGCCGGCAACGGUGAAACUCAAAGGAAUUGACGGGGGCCCGCACAAGCGGAGGAACAUGUGGUUUAAUUCGAUGAUACGCGAGGAACCUUACCCGGGCUUAAAUUGCAUUUGAAUAUAUUGGAAACAGUAUAGCCGUAAGGCAAAUGUGAAGGUGCUGCAUGGUUGUCGUCAGCUCGUGCCGUGAGGUGUCGGCUUAAGAGCCAUAACGAGCGCAACCCUUAUCUUUAGUUACUAACAGGUCAUGCUGAGGACUCUAGAGAGACUGCCGUCGUAAGAUGUGAGGAAGGUGGGGAUGACGUCAAGUCAGCACGGCCCUUACGUCCGGGGCUACACACGUGUUACAAUGGGGGGUACCGAAGGCAGCUACCUGGUGACAGGAUGCUAAUCCCAAAAUGCCUCUCUCAGUUCGGAUCGAAGUCUGCAACCCGACUUCGUGAAGCUGGAUUCGCUAGUAAUCGCGCAUCAGCCAUGGCGCGGUGAAUACGUUCCCGGGC
rnacentral:rRNA from 1 species